AUAAUACUCCCUCCGUUCUAAAAUUCUUGUCUUAAAUUUGUCUAGAUACGAAUGUAUCUAGUCAUGCUUUAGUAUUUAGAUACAUCUAUUUUUAGACAAACAUAACACAAUAAUUUUAGGACGGAGGGAGUAUAAA
rfam:Hordeum vulgare subsp. vulgare, WGS project CAJW01000000 data, contig: morex_contig_136719